rnacentral:rRNA from 1 species
AAUGAACGUUGGCGGCAUGGAUUAGGCAUGCAAGUCGAGCGAGAAGUGUAGCAAUACACGGAAAGCGGCGGAAGGGAGAGUAAUACGUGGGAAUCUGCCCUUAGACCUGGGAUAGCAGCGGGAAACUGCUGGUAAUACCAGAUAAUGUCUAUGGACCAAAGGUGUGAUUCCGUCUAGGGAUGAGCCCACGUCCUAUUAGCUAGUUGGUAGGGUAAUGGCCUACCAAGGCGAUGAUGGGUAGCGGGUGUGAGAGCAUGACCCGCCUCACUGGGACUGAGACACAGCCCAGACACCUACGGGUGGCUGCAGGCGAGAAUCUUCGGCAAUGGGCGCAAGCCUGACCGAGCGAUGCCGCGUGCGGGAUGAAGGCCUUCGGGUUGUAAACCGCUGUCGAGGGGGAGCAACUUCCAUAGAGUUAUCUUUAUGGAUUGAGUGAUCCCUGGAGGAAGGACGGGCUAAGUUCGUGCCAGCCGCCGCAGUAAAAC